UCUCUAUAGACUAUCUCCAGGUUAGUAGAUAGCUUUGCUCUCUCUCUUCAUUUAAUCUCUUCCAAGUAGGAAAAUAUGCUGACAUGGAUCUCUUAUAUAGAGCCUAUAGAUAACCAUUGUGGGUACCCUUAUGAGUAUGCAGGGAGUACUCCUGCAUGAGAGGCGAACACAAUAAUGAUUCACUGCAUGUCUCUGCAUCCAUUCCAAGGAGGGUAGAUAACCCAAUACUGUAUCGGGCAUUGUCAUUGGAUUGCAUUGCUUUGCUACUAGCUAGCAUAGCAAGCCCAGCCCCAGCCCUGCAACAUUCAGAUGUUCAGAACGGCAUCUGCAUCUGCAUUACAUGCAUGAUGCAGCUUUCCCCAGUGCAAUGGAGUUGAUGAUGCCUCUCGACCAGCCAGCUAUCAGCAGCAGCUGCAGCUAGCAGCAUCCGGCACUGUUCCUUCCAUCGCUAACCACCUGACUGUUCAUCUAUGGAUGAUCAUAUCCGAUCCCCAUCUUGUUUGGAAUGUACAGUUUGUAUAUCUGAAUCUGAUAGAUUGAUCUGGAGCCAAAACCAACAUACAGUAGCUGUAGCAUUACACAUCAACACCACUGUCCCCCUGCAGUAGCACUGUUGCUUAGCCUAGCUAGCUGCAGCUGCCGGUGCCCCCCAACCUGACUGAUUAAACAUCGAUGAUAUUAUCCCUGUCCCUCCCGGCCAACCCUUCUGCAGUGAAAAGGCCAUGCCAUGGAUUCUAGCUAGAGUACCUCGCUAGCUACCAAGAUCAAGCCAUUCAUGCAUGCUGUCUGCAUUAUGGAGUGGAUUGAAUAAUACUAUUAGUUUUCGAGGAUUUUUGUCGGAAUCGAACUGGUUCAUGUGAAAAUCCUGUAAGAUUCCUGAAGGAGAGGCUUUAGUCUAUCACAUCCUUUUGUUUCUUUGGAGAGGAUCGAUGUUAUCCUGGGAAUUAAACGCUGGACCAGGUUGGUGGAUCAACAUUAAUCAGAAGUUCAGAACAGAGGAGCAUUAUGGAGUGGAUCAUCAUGUAUGCACUCAGCAUAUGCCAAUUCAGAUAAUUUCAGAGACCAUUACGCUUUUGCCGUGCUGGGUGAUCGAUCGAAAUCAUGGUUGUGUGUGUCAUCUGCCAUAUGAUCGUGCCAGAAAACCCUGAUCCUGGGUGGUCCUCUUUGGGGUCGCAGCUCAUCUUGUUCAUGGCCAAAGGUAGAAGAAAGAGGAGAGAUCUAGAGUUAUUAUUACUGCGUCGCCAUUAACUGCGCGUGGUGAUUAAGAAGAAAUCAAUGUGCCUCGUUUGUCCUCCCGUCUUAAUUGUGAAAUUUACGGCCGUAUUUACACACCGGCAAUGUGUAUGUAUUGCUGACUGUCAUGGUCAGUCACACACACACACACACAAAGAACAGUAGACAACGACGAUGGCAUCAAAGUGGCAGCAACUUCUUUUACUGUUUCUGAACCACCAUCCUUUUACAGCUUGAAAAGGAGAAUAAUUCAACGUGAAACCAUCUCUCCCUGUUUCAUUCCAGCUAGCAGUCUGUCUGCCGUUGUAUUUGCAUCGUGGUUUUUAGUGAGAUGUCAAAUACCGCUGGACGAUGCUUGGGAGAGGUCAAAUCCCAGCCUCUGCAUCGCGAGAUGCACAUAACCAGCCAGUAGUUAGAUUCGUUCGGGCUCUAAAAGUUAUUUUUGGCUCCGUUAUACUAAAGCCAACCAAUAGAUAUCAAAUACUUAAUGCAGUUAGAUUUAUCUGGGCUCUAAAAGUUUACUCGGUUCUGUCACGACAACCAGCGUCAUAUCGUUUCGAUCGUUUGUAGUUAGAUUUAUCCGGGCUCUAAAAGUUCACUCGGUUUUGCCACAACAACUAGCGUUAUGUCGUUUGUAGUUAGAUUUGUCCGGACUCUAAAAGUUUACUCGGUUUUGCCACCAUAACUAACGUUAUAUCAUCUUGUAGUUAGAUUUGUCCGGGCUCUAAAAUCUUUCUAGGUUCCGCCACGACAGCCAGUGCCAUGUCGUCGCGCCUGGCUGUCGUUGGCGGAGUAGAGCUCACUCCAUCUCCAGCAUCCUAUCCUACCCUUCUACUGGUUUUGAGCUUUGAGGCAGGGUUGAGUUGCGUGUGCUCGAGGCGGCCGGCCGGCCAUCGUUAUCCUCCAUGUGGUGUCACACCAUGAAACCAAGCAGCAAUCCAAAUUCCCAAUCCGGCACAAACACCUUCAUGCGAAAAACGGGAUAGCUACUACUACUUGCUACUAAUGGCCCGGAUUGGUUGGUUCCAGAUGAGGUUCAGUAAAGAUCAGAAAGCGAAGAUUAACCUGCAAAGAAAUCAUCAUAUAUCCGGUUUUUCACCCAUAUCCAUCUUGCCUUACACAUGGUUGCACCUCCUCCUUACAAGUGUUCCAACCUAGCUCCCUUCCAUACCUCUAGCUUUCACCAUGGCACCUGAACUACAACUACAUGCAUAUAAAUCCAGCCACGCGACUCUCCGCGUGGCGGAUCCAGGAAUUUUCUAGAGCCUAGACAAAUACUACACGCGGAUUCCGGUUUACGGAUAGUGUUAGAUAAUGAAGCCCGGAAAAAUACAGGCCAUAUAUCACAGUGGCGCGACUCGCUGGCGAGCCUAGUUGGCAUGCCUACUCUGCAAGAAGAUAACAACAAAUCGUUGUCUGAAAAAAGAUGAUAAAAAAAAUGGAGAUGAGGAGAUGAAAAAUGAGGUGGCAAUGGCAAAAUGCCGCGGGCGCCGUCGGUGUCCGGGGCUCCGGCUCGCCCGGCCGGCGUACUGUGGAGGUCGCGGUGCCUGUCCGGGCUCCGGGUAGACAGAAAGGCCCCAAUGGAGCCCGCCGUAUCUGCUCUGCUACACCUACCCAUCCAUGUCACCAUCCAUAGAUAGACGAUGGCGACGAAGACGGGAUGCGUGCGGAUCAAAAAUAAAAAAUCGGUGGCAUUAAUUCUUGGAAUUGAUUCACUGGACGGACAGUGAAUAUUGCAUGCAACAACUGAUCAUCCCCUGCAAUGGCUUAAUAUUGCCCUGUGUUCAGUGACUUGGCUGCCGUGCUGCAUGCCAGCUAUGGAGGGAGAGAGAUGAAAUGAAAUGAUCUCAAUGGGAGGAAGAGAAUGAUGCCGAGAAAUUAAAAUCUCUCUUGUGUUCAUGCAUUCAAUUUGCUUCUGCACAUGCUCAUUCACUCAUCCAGUCAGUCGCUCACUCACUCACUGGGCUCAGUGACCUAGCUUUGCUACUACUAGCUCACUCAUCAUUCUCUUUGCUUCCUUCACCAAACUUCAGAUUUCCAGUCCCCUGGAUUGGCUUCCUCUGCAACCAUCACAUAAAUUUCCUCUGCCUCCAUGUCUGUACUGACUGCCUCUCUAACUACUCAGCUUUUGUGUGUGUGAUGGAGAUAGAGAUGGCAUCUGAUUUGGCAUUGGCACUAGUAGUACUUUGUACUAGAUUUGCUUGCAAGUUGCAGCCUCUGAAAAUCUGAAUGUUAGUUGAGGAGGCCUGGCCCUGUGUCCUAACUCCUAAUGCACAUAUGCAUGGCAUCUUCUCUGGUUUUGCAUCAUUCAUUCAUGCAUGCAUGCAUGCAAAUGAGGGGGUAGUAGUCAGUAGAUCAUAGAUGUGUCCAGGCUGAAAUGCAAAAAGUAAAAAGGGAUCCCUGCAGAGAUCUCCAAUUUCUUUCACUCUUUCAGAACAAAAGGGGCUCCCUUGUGGCCUUGUGCUUGCAGGAAAAGCCCAAACCCUGCAUCUUUCAGGCUCUUGCCCCACAUGUAUUAUGUACAUGAUUCGUAAACACACAGCUAGCACAUAGUGUUCCCGGCAUAAAAAAAAGAAAAAAAAAGAAAAAAAGAAAAAAAAAGAAGCUAGCACAUAGUGUAGCCCUGUUUCGAGGAGCUUCUCGGAGCCAUGGCUUCUCUCGAAAUCUUCGACUCCCUCAAACAGAAUCCUAAUUAAUUCUUUAACAAAAUUCCAAGAAUUUAUAGUUGUAAAAUCUAAAAAAAUAAACUAGAAAUCAGGAAAUACAAAAUCCAGUUUAGUUUUACUUUUUCAGAUUCAUUCAUUCAUACAAAAUCCAGCUAGCUACUCAUCUUAGCUGCUUCUCAGAAUUUCGAGCUUCCCUGAACAUAUAACCAUGUACUAUUUCUUGCUUGUUCUUCUCUU